CGCCUGUUUAACAAAAACAUGUCUUUUUGAAUUAUUUAAAAAGUCUAACCUGCCCACUGAAUUAUUUUAAAUGGCCGCUGUAUCCUAACUGUGCAAAGGUAGCAUAAUGAUUAGUCUUUUAAUUGAAGGCUGGUAUGAAUGAUUGGACGAGAUAUUAACUGUUUCAUAAAAAUUUAUAAUAGAAUUUUAUUUUUUAGUCAAAAAGCUAAAAUAAAUUUAAAAGACGAGAAGACCCUAUAAAUCUUUAUAUUUAGAUAAUUACAAUUUUGUGGAUUUUUUUUGUUGUGAUUGUUGAUAAUAUUUUAUUGGGGUGAUAUUAAAAUUUAAAAAACUUUUAAUUAAUUAAUUCAUUAAUUUAUGAAUAAUUGAUCCGUUAUUAACGAUUAAAAAUUUAAGUUACUUUAGGGAUAACAGCGUAAUUUUUUUGGGGAGUUCAUAUCGAUAAAAAAGAUUGGGACCUCGAUGUUGGAUUAACAGAUAUAUUUUGGUGUAGUCGCUAAAAUGUUAAGUCUGUUCGACUUUUAAAUUCUUACGUGAUCUGAGUUCAGACCGG
rnacentral:rRNA from 1 species